rnacentral:rRNA from 1 species
UACGUAGGGUGCAAGCGUUUAAUCGGAAUUACUGGGCGUAAAGCGUGCGCAGGCGGUUUUGUAAGUCUGUCGUGAAAUCCCCGGGCUCAACCUGGGAAUUGCGAUGGAGACUGCAAGGCUAGAAUCUGGCAGAGGGGGGUAGAAUUCCACGUGUAGCAGUGAAAUGCGUAGAGAUGUGGAGGAACACCGAUGGCGAAGGCAGCCCCCUGGGUCAAGAUUGACGCUCAUGCACGAAAGCGUGGGGAGCAA